AUGAUGUUGCAGAUUUGUUUUCUCUAUUUUUGCAACAUGGGUGUUGUUGCAGAAAAAAUGCAGUUUUUUUCAUCUUUUUUUUGCAAUAUGAGUGUUGUUGUGGAAGGCAAUUUUGCAAUAAACAUGAUGUUGCAUAAACAGAGACGCAAGGGACACACGUACAUGUGUCACACAGAGGAGGCGGCAGAUCUCUCGCGUGCGAUCUACCGUCUGAAGACGAGGAGAUGGCUCCCUGAAGAUGGAAUAAGGUUCUCCCUGCCCAACCCCCUCCCGGAUGAUGUUUCUAGUGUCGCCGAAGGGCUUGUGGAGGUUUGUCUUCGGAGGAUCUCAUGA
rnacentral:rRNA from 1 species